AAUCUAUUUAUGGAAUAUGUUACACCACUCAGACCACGACAGUAUGGUGUAGAAACACGAGCUCACUUUUAUUACUUCACCGGCAGGACUGGUAACACAAA